ACCAAGCUGACGAGUCCCAAAUAGGAGGAAAUGCGCAUCCUGGAU
rfam:Schistosoma haematobium scaffold1120_7, whole genome shotgun sequence.